ensembl:lncRNA
UUUCUGUUUGGUGGGGAUUUGGGGCCUCAGAAUUGAGUAAUGAGAGUGAAGGGUGAAGUGAAUCUCAAAGCAUGGAGGCAGCUGUGGCAUGUUUUACUGCGACACAGCCGUAGUCCUGUCAGGAUGUGAUACUUUCAGAUGCUGUUCGUGGUGGGCAGUUGCUGGUGGAGAAGCACUGCAGGUGCAACACCAUUAGACACUUUUUCCUUUGUGUCAGAAGUUUGAGAGCUGCCCAGGAACAUUAAAUAGGGAACAGUCUUCUGACAUCUUCCAGGUAAGAUGGAAACGGGAGAUCCUGAGCAUUUGAAUGAUGAAAGAUCUCAGUGUGUUACCUGCAAGUCAGUGUUUUAACCCCAACAUUCUGGCCAAAUUCCAGCUCUGCUAAUUACAUCCUGCCUAUGUGAAAAUUCCCCUGCGUUUGUACACUGCUUUCUUCCCCGCUUGUUUUCAGCAGCUGCAUGGAGUUGCCAGGUGCGGCGAGGCGCUUGCCAUGUUCCACCUCAGGCCUGGCUGCCUUUCAGCAGGGAAUGAAAUGAGCACUGUGCACAGCAUUUGAAGUGAGUCUGGAUCCUGGAUAUUCCCCUGGAUAGCAGGGAAGGAUGCUAUAGAAGAAGUGUACCCUAGGACCAGUGCUGGAGCCUUGUCAUAGAAGGUAACGGCAUGAAGAGGCCAGAGGCACCAGUGCUGGGAUACACCGCAGGGUUAUAGGGGCGACAGGAGGGGGCUGCUGCACUGUGAUCUGAUUUUUCUCCCAGCAUCUCUCCCCUACAAGGGCUGGAAUUGCUGGUACACACUGAUCUGGUUUUGGCUGACUGACUUCAGGUUUGUUUGCACAGUGGGAGAAGCUCUCAGUCCCACUUACGCCAGCCACUGCCAAUACAUUUCCAGCUUUGCAUGUCUGGUUAUCAGUUGGUGUGGACAAGGGAAGCUAAGAGAAAAGAAAUAAUUCAAAACCUUUAAAUCUAUAGAUCUGUUUCCUUCUUUUCCACUUUGUGACUCAUGUGCACACUGCUUUUUGCACAGCCCUGUUGGGAACAACUCUUUUCAACUGACCAUUAAUCCCCCUAGAAAAAAACUGACUCAUACUAGUGGAGAGAAACUGGCUGAUGGAUUAUCCCUCUCUUCUGAAGGGGUGAAAGAGAUGGCUGUAGCAGUUGUCAUAGGACUCUGAUAAUAAGAAGCAGUAAGAAAUGCAGGUCACAUACAGAAGGAUAAUGAAAUCCCAUAUAUUCAAUACAGGAGUGACUUACUGGCUCAUCUGUCCAAGUUCCUUGUCAGCCAAGCUCUCUCUUUGAUUAUGGCAUUUUUACCACAGUCCUGUCUGAAUAUUAUAUGGAAGCACAUUCUGCCUGAAGAUUAUAUGGAAGCACAUACAAAAAUGUUUGAGGUUGCUCCUGAUAGUACACUAACUUCACUGGCAGCAGAGGAGGUAGAAAAUGCCCAAAGGCAGACAGAGCCGUGACUUGCUUCUUCCCCAUUCCCCUCACAUCCCUCUCUGAUCUUUUCAACAUCUUAAUCCCAUGAGACAGCAGCUGUGAGUAGUCUCUCUGUUCCAAGGGGAAAAAACAAGGUUAUCUCAAGGUGUGAUGCCAGCAUGUUUUCACUAUAUCCCAGAAGGGGAAGUACAGCAAGCCUUGAAGAGGGAGGGAAUGUGUGUUUGUGGUGUAAGGUCGAAAGCUUGGACUCAAAGACCCGAGCCCUUUUGCCAUGCUGCCUGUGUGACUUCAGGCAAGGCACAACCUUCCUAGUCUCAUUAGCCCUGUCUUUAAACUGUAUUUAGUACUUGCUUCACGGGGCUGAGAAGAAGGAGAUUAAGCUUUAAUUCAUUAAUGUUUAUAAAACAUUUUAAAACUUGAUGGAAAUUUCCCAGGUACGCAGAGAGCAUAAAAAAGCUUAUCUCCCUCUCCAUCUGCAAAUGGUCCUGCAAUAUGAGAGAAAUGAGUGAAAACAGUGCUUGCAUUUUGGUAUUUAUGAUAUUAAA